UACGUAGGUGGCAAGCGUUAUCCGGAAUUAUUGGGCGUAAAGCGUGCGCAGGCGGUUAUGCAAGACAGAUGUGAAAUCCCCGGGCUCAACCUGGGAACUGCAUUUGUGACUGCAUGGCUAGAGUACGGUAGAGGGGGAUGGAAUUCCGCGUGUAGCAGUGAAAUGCGUAGAUAUGCGGAGGAACACCGAUGGCGAAGGCAAUCCCCUGGACCUGUACUGACGCUCAUGCACGAAAGCGUGGGGAGCAAACAGG
rnacentral:rRNA from 1 species